rnacentral:lncRNA from 1 species
UGACGAUUAAAAGCAUGCGAUUGCAGCUGUUGGGCAUAAAAACUCAAUUUGAAUUUGAUUAAUAAAAGAAUGCAAUUGCAACUACUGUAGCAUAAAAAUUGGACUGGAAAAUGCAUGCAAUUGCAGCUCAUAGCCAGAAGAAUUGCACUGGAAAAAUGAUGCAAUUGCGGCUACCUACCAGAGCAAUUGCACUAAGACAAAUGAUGCAAAAAUGCCCCGAAAUAGUUAACCCAUGCAAUUGAAACAAAUUUCAUAAAUCAGUGGUUACAAAUAAUUGGCCAAAUCAAACCCACCAACAUUGAUGAAGAGCAUGAUGCUAACAUGAAUGACCGGCAUCCACAUGCAUCAGAGUGUGUCCCUCCCCGUGGUAAUCUUUGCCCCUCUUGAGUUAAAACCUUGAUUUGAGUUCAGAAAAAUCAAUAAGCUUGAUGAACAAGAUUCCACCCAUGUGCAGCAAACAUGGGUACAUAAAAAUAAAUAAGAUAAACCUAGAUAUUUGUGCAAUUGCAACUGCUUACAGCCAGAAUUGCACUGUCAGGCAAGGUGCAACUGCAUCUGCUUGCAGCCCAAAUUGCGCUGAAAAAAAAUGUCAAGCAGCUGAAACUCCACUGGCAAGAAAGGGUGCAAUUCUAGCUGCUCAAGUAAGCUGCAAUUGCAAUUGACUGCAAAAAACUAGGUCGAACUAAACUAUUUGAAUUCCAGAAAAAAUCAAAAUAAAAAAAGGGACUGGCUGCUGUUUCCCAAUUUCAAAAAUGAAUUUGAAUUUCAAACAACUGUGAUUGACUGGCAAGAAAGGGGCCAAGAGAACUAUUUGGAAACCAGAACAUAUCAAUAUCAUAAAAAUGGCUGGAAAAACCAACAAUAUUGAAACAAAUAUUGUAAGGCAAAAAGCUUGACGAUGAGCGUGAAAUCUUGAAUACUAACCUCAACGAGUGGGAUAACACGCAUCAAGGACAGCAUAUCUAAAAUCACAUAUAGUGGCAGGAAGAUAAAAAAAUGCAACAAAACAUUCAUAAUGACACGAAAGUUGAUGAGUUUAGAUGCUGACUGCUUUCACAUUGCUAAGUUUUUCAUAAGAUGGGCCCCGCAAAAAGUAACCAUAUAUACACAUGAUACAACUAGAUGGCAAAACACAUCAUUCAAUGUUGGAAGACCGAUUAUCACUUUUGAUUAUUCUCAAGCUUUCUGCCUUGCAGGGCUUUGGUAGCAUUUCAAAUCUACAGAAGACCGAUUAUUCUCAAGCUCAUCAGGUAGACAAGAACACAAACACAAGUUUUAUAAGCAAAAGUGAUAAGAAUUGGGCAAACUUUUAAAAGGUUAACAAAUAACUGAAACAAGUAGAGGAGGCAGGGCAAUUGCAACUUGACUACAUUCUGAUUGCAUAGAUAGAACAAUGCAAAACUUGGCCCGGGGGAGUGCAAUUAAGAAAACACUUUGCUAAAUAAAAACUUAUGUAAGAUAAAAAAAAUGCAAAAUCAAAUUACAUAUAUGAAGGUGCAUAAUCAAGAGCUAAAGCACUAGUUGAAUGUGACUAUGAAUAGGACUCGGAAUAAUUGCUAUAGUUAGCACGUGUUCAGAAAAUCUCACAUAACAACAACACAAAACGUCCAAAAUCAAGCGCACAAAUCUGCAAAAAAUCACCCCCACGGCGGCAAAGGAAUGAGCCCCCAAAACAAUCAGUUAUGGAAGCUACGUCGCAAUCGCAGAACUGAAGCCGAAUGAUACACAACACAAAACGUAAGCUCCGGGUCUCAACAUAGAUCUACCAUUUUGCUCAGGGACAUAGCAAAUGAAGCACUCACGAUGCACGGUGAGCAACCUGCGCAACCAACGACACGCCUCAGAACCUCUACUGCCUUCGCCUUACCAAAUCCGCCACGAAGAGGGAAGCAAAAUCUGCGACGAAGACAACUCUAGUUAGAAUUUUAGUACAGCCAAUUCACAGGGGAAUAACAGAAACUCAUGAGCAACUCACCGGAGAGCCGACCAGACCUCACCGGUGGCGAGCGCAGAUACAAACCCUUUUCGCCUCUGCUGUCUUUGCCUCCCCACGCAAGUGCCAAAGCAACAAAUCGCUCGCAAAAAACAAAAUACCAUUGCAGGAGGGUUUAAGAUGACAAAAAAAAUACAGACAACAACUUAAAAGCAUAAAAAAUCAGUCAUUAAACGCAUCAUCUGUAGCGGGAUUAAGAAACAACCUUGACCUAAAAUUGCAUCAAACACAAGUUGCUUUCUUACAGAAAGGUAUUCAGAUAAAUAGACACUCAUAGUUACCAAUGGACAACAAAAAUUGACACUGAUAUUGUCCAUGAAAAUGAUUUACUACGGUGCUACUAGUCCCAAAAGUAGCAAAGUUAAAUUACUGUCACUGGUCAUACACAAAAGCAUAUAUAUCGAGCAACAAUGCUACAACAUCAACAUAAUCAAAACAUGGACGCAGAGUGGACAUGCCCAAGGCAUAUAACCAUAUCCUGACACUACACUCAUGCUACCCAAAAUCACCCAAAAAUCAACCCCUAAGAUCAACAGAUUAGAGGCAUCAGCCACAAAAUUAGCAUUAGAAAUAGGAAGCAUUAACAUCAUAUCACCCAUGCUGAAGCUCUCCAGUAAAAUCUGCAAGAAAAAUCAAUCAUGAUUCUGACAGUAGAAAAAUGCAUAAAUACACUACUGCUAGUCUCCCUUCAAUCACAAGGGUCACAACCCGCGGGAGAACACAAGAGCGCCAAAACCAGGGCCAACUCGCAGCAAUAUGCGCAAAAAAUCGUCAUGAGGGCGAUCUCUGCG